rnacentral:rRNA from 1 species
UACAGAGGGGGGCAAGCGUUGUUCGGAAUUACUGGGCGUAAAGGGCGCGUAGGCGGCCUUCUAAGUCGAACGUGAAAUCCCCGGGCUCAACCCGGGAACUGCGUCCGAUACUGGAUGGCUUGGAUUUGGGAGAGGGAUGCGGAAUUCCAGGUGUAGCGGUGAAAUGCGUAGAUAUCUGGAGGAACACCGGUGGCGAAGGCGGCGAUCCUGGACCAAUAUUGACGCUGAGGAGCGAAAGCCAGGGGAGCAAACGGGG